UUUUGCUUCGUUCGUUUUUUGUUCAUAUGAAAAAAGAUUUCCUGCGCAAGAUUUUUUGAUUGAUUCACUGAUCGAUUAUGUUUCCCCUCUUCACACAAACCCUGGAUCCUUACUUUCCUGUUUGGUUUAAUUGUUUAAUUUUUAUUACAAUGGGUGUUUCAUCAGAUUUGAUUUGUGCUGUGAGAAACAGUGGGUUUCAUCAGAUUUUGGUUUCUAGGGUAAAGCCAGCUCUCAAAUUUGGAUCCGAAGUCUUCAAUUUCAAUUAUAAAAGAUUGGGUAUUCAGUUGAAGAGAAAUUUAGGAGGCAGAGUUUAAUCACGAAGACGAUGCAGAGGAAAGGAAGUACAAGGAAAAUCAAUUCGGAGCAAGAAAUAGAACAUUGUAGAAAUAUGAUCUUGCUGCCGUCUUUUCAAGUCAGAGUCCAUAUAUAUGCUCAAGAGAUAUGGGGGGCUUGCUUUGGAUGCGAAUUCGUUGCAGGGAAAUCAAUUUAAAGUAACUAAUCGUAAAAACAAUACCACCAGUUGAAAGACACAAAGUGUUUGAAAGAAAGCCUGAACUAUUACCAGCUUAUUUCCAUUGCGUAGUUGUCAUGGGUACAUUGUCUGUUUAGUUAGAGGUAGAAUUUGAAGUGGAUAUGGAACUGAAGGUUGGGUAGGUAUUCACUUUAAUUUUGGUGUUCUAACAACUUUAAUUUGCUUGAAUAUUUCCUACUCGACUUUAGAAUCUUUUUCUUUGAACCAAAAUAUGAAGUUUCAAUUGGUCCCAGUAGACUUUGAGAUAUGCCAGUAUUUGUCUUAUUAUGGAGCAGUACAUUAGUAUCCUCUGAUGUUUUCUUUUUUGACAUGUUCUACUCGGGGGAAUACAUUAGUAUCUGAUGUUGUUUGAUUAUUCAUUCCCCUGAGUCUCUCUUUCUUCCCUGUAAGAGAACUCCAUCAGCAAAACCUGCAUCCGUUCUUUGUAAUUUAAAUUCCUACACCAUCUUUAUGUGUUUUUUUUUAAUCCCUUAAUUUUUUUUUGGAUAUACUGCUUGAUUUGGAUGUUAGACUGCUCAAUGGAGAAGCGCCACAGCCAUCAUUUCAUCCGUUCAUGUAUAUGUAUAGUAAUUUAGGACAGUCUGCAUUGCUAAUGUCGUAGAUCAGUUCAUUUAAACUUUAUAUAAUUGUUUGUUUAUAGGGGAAUAAUGCUCCUUCUUUUUUGCGGUUCUUCCUUGCUUAUCUGUUGUAGAUUGUAGCUCCUGGCGAAAGUUUGUUGAUUUUUUGCAGUGUUUUAGUUUGUGCUUUUGGAGGAAAAGAAAGAAGACGAUGCAGAGGAAUAAAAUAAGAAGCUGUACAAGGAGACGUGUUGCUGAGCAUUACAGUUGGGGACACCUGAUGCAACUUUGAAUCCAUGAACUGGCUUAAUGGGUACAAGGAUAUUUGAAUCAACUUAGAAAACUAUAUUUACUAUUCUAUUUGGUUCUUUGUCAGGUUCAUGGAGCACCAGAAGGAGAAUAAAAAACCAGUUAAUCAAUGAGUUUUAAGGUUCAAUCGCAAUAAUCUGUGAAGCCUCAACAGCGGCAAUUAUAUGAUAAAGAAGUAUUUAUCGUAUCACUGCACUGUUUGCAGCCAAUCCAUAAUCCGUGAAGCCUCAACAACGGCAGUUAUAUGGGACCACAGAUAAUGAUAGAAAGUGAGGUUGAUGUGCUAAUGGCCGCGGCAAUGGGAGCUGAUGAGUAUUGAUUUUGUAUAGGAGGUGAUUUCCAAGGGUUUUUGGAGUCUGAUUUGGUUUGUGUUGGCAGGGAAGACAUGUGAGAUAGAAAUAGGUUUGUUGUGCUAGAAUUGAGAAAUUGCAGGUGAUGCAGGAAUGAGGAAUAGGCGGUGAUGCUCAAUGUAUUGCAGCUGCAUUUGAGUACCUGCGAUUGAAGUGGUUGAUAAUAACUGUGGAGGAGAUAAGAGAUUUUUGAUUGGGUCAGCUUCAAAGGCGGAAAUAUAGGUCAGUUGUGUGGAUCAAAUUAUAUCAGUAGAAGACACAUUGUGCCUAAUUCUUAGUUGUUCAUGGACAUUAGAGUUGGCAUAGUUGCCAGGGAAAGUAACCACAUUGUGUUCGGGACCAGGAUUUGAGGGUGAGAAUCAAGAUAUGAUGUGAUUCUGAAAACUCGAGUGUGGGAUGUGACCACCAGUGCAUUAUAGUUUCUCGUAUCACAUUGCUUCUUGGUUGCUCAUAUUGCUUGAAUAAUAAGUACUUGAGCCUCUUGAUGAAAUGUUUGUGUACCAGGCUUGCCAAUUCAAAAUCUAAGUACGGUAUGUUCUCAUGGGAAUGUGAAUUUUGGUUUUUGCCAAUCCAGAUCUAAGUACGGUACGUUCUCAUGGGAAUAUGGAUUUGGUUUUCAGAGAAUAAUUUUGGAUUGUAGAAUUUGUUUAUAUGAUUUGCUCACUCACUUGGUGUUACUUAUUGUCCCAAUGUCUUCAACUUCGUGCUAAAAAAAUCUCUGUGUGAAGUAUUUUUCUUUCGUGAAUCGAUGUAUGCAAUGGUUUCUUCUUCUCGGCACUUUCGUCGUUGUGAAAGUACUAUUUUGUGACAAGCUUUCGAACUAAGGUUUUGCAGGAUAUCGGGGAGCUGAUAUCCACAGCAACCCAUAUAGGCAGGCCAUUUGGUUUUAAUUAUUACUUCCUACCAAAUUCAGUGAUCUAAUGAAUUUCAUUCAUAUCUAUACCCUAUGUUUAUGAGCAUCGAUAUUUGCAUCCUGGGGAUUUGAUCUUUUAUGAAGUAGCCAUUGACAUCACCGAGAAGAUUUAUUCGAUCAAUCUCCAGAGAGAGAGAUUUUUUAUCGAUAUGGCAUCAGGAUGAGGAAUCACAAGGAACAAAGGAAGGUGUUAUGAUUUCUGGACAGAUUUCAGUGAAUGUAUGUCCAAUUGUAGAGAACCUGAAGAUUUUGCUCUUCUUAGAGAAGAUUAUCCCGAGUGUCUUCAUCAUGCUAAAGAGGUUGUGUAGCUGGUGACAGUAAAUUGAUAUUAGGUGGUGUUGGACGUCCAGAUGAUUUAAGAGGUCCAAGAGCUGGUGGUGUAUAAGAACAGGUGGGAGAGGAAGUCAACGGGAAGUACUUUCUGGCUUCUGGUGUUUGGACAGGUCAUAUGCAGUUCAUUUAGUGACACUUUUCCAGCUGCUUCUAUCUCUUAAUAAGACAAGUAUUUUAAAUUAUGGACCUGUGGCGCAAUGGUAGCGCAUCUGACACCAGGUCAGAAGGUGUCUCUACAUGAAGAAGUGGAUGCACUUAACUUCAAGGCUCAACAAACAGCAACUAAAGGGCUGAACAAACAGCAACCAAAGGUAACCCUAACAUCAGCAGAAAUACACUUCAGACAAGCAACAACACAUUUGAAUAACUAAUUCAGGAUUAUCCAGGAAGCCCGCAUACCUGGAGAACAUGUAUAUGUUCACACAAAACGUCUGUAGUAGGAAUUGAAGCCGAUGGUAGUGGGGAUUUAUGGUAAGAACUACCAUGAUAAUGUUGUAGCUACUACAAUUUUGUACACAAACUAAAUCAAGGACCUGUGGCGCAAUGGUAGCGCAUCUGACUUCAUGUCAGAAGGGUACGUGGUUGAUUCACGUUAGGUCUAAUUGUCGAUAUUCAACCGUGUCCUACGAAUAGUUAAAGUCCUAUGAAUAGUUAAAAGUGUUGUUUCUGUUUUGGUUGAGAUACUCACCAUUUAGUUUGUUAUCUGGGUACUUCGUAUGUAAGUUGUUGUAGAUCCUCGCAACAUUGAACGAGAAUCUAGAUUGCCUAUAAAGAAGUUGUCUGCUUCUUUGGUUGCAGAAAAGGUAUAAUUUUGGUUGAUUUUUAUUUCACCCGUAUGAGGUUUCUAUUUUGCAUUACGAUGGAGAGAAACACAACACUAAGAUUUGUGAAGGAUCCACAGAGGAAUGUUGGUGUGGUAUAUA